rnacentral:rRNA from 1 species
CCUACGGGAGUCAGCAGUGGGGAAUAUUGGGCAAUGGGCGCAAGCCUGACCCAGCAACGCCGCGUGAAGGAAGAAGGCUUUCGGGUUGUAAACUUCUUUUAAGAGGGAAGAGCAGAAGACGGUACCCUGAAAACAAGCCACGGCUAACUACGUGCCAGCAGCCGCGGUAAUACGUAGGUGGCAAGCGUUGUCCGGAUUUACUGGGUGUAAAGGGCGUGUAGCCGGGAAGGCAAGUCAGAUGUGAAAUCUGGAGGCUCAACCUCCAAAUUGCAUUUGAAACUGUUUUUCUUGAGUACUGGAGAGGCAGACGGAAUUCCUUGUGUAGCGGUGAAAUGCGUAGAUAUAAGGAGGAACACCAGUGGCGAAGGCGGUCUGCUGGACAGCAACUGACGGUGAGGCGCGAAAGCGUGGGGAGCAAACAGGAUUAGAUACCCCUGUAGUC